CCUGAACGCUGGCGGCGUGGCUAAGACAUGCAAGUCGAACGGACGUAGCAAUACGUCAGUGGCGGACGGGUGAGUAAUGAAUCGCUAAUGUACCCUAGAGCCUGGGAUAGCUGCCCGAAAGGGCAGGUAAUACCAGAUGAAAUAUUCCGAUCGCAUGGUUGGAAUCUCAAAGCCGUAAGGCACUCCUGGAGCAGGCGAUUUCGUAUCAGCUAGUUGGUGAGGUAACGGCUCACCAAGGCGACGACGCGUAACCGGACUGAGAGGUUGGCCGGUCACAUUGGGACUGAGACACUGCCCAGACUCCUACGGGGGCUGCAGUAACGAAUCUUCCGCAAUGCACGAAAGUGUGACGGAGCGACGCCGCGUGGAGGAGAAGUCCUCGG
rnacentral:rRNA from 1 species